rnacentral:rRNA from 1 species
GACGAACGCUGGCGGCGUGCCUAAUACAUGCAAGUAGAACGCACAGUUGAUACCGUAGCUUGCUACACCAUAGACGGUGAGUUGCGAACGGGUGAGUAACGCGUAGGUAACCUGCCUGGUAGCGUGGGAUAACUAUUGGAAACGAUAGCUAAUACCGCAUAGUAUUGAUUAUUGAUGGAUAAGUAAUAGAAAGUGGAAAUGGGACGACUACGAUAGGGACCUACGUGCUAUUAGCUGGUAGGUGGGGUAACGGCGCACCUAGGCGAUGGUACAUAGCCGACCUGCGAGGGUGGUCGGCCACACUGGGAGUGAGACACGGCCCAGCCUCCUACGGGCGGCAGCAGUAGGGAAUCUUCGGCAAUGGACGGAAGUCUGACCGAGCAACGCCGCGUGAGUGAAGAAUGUUGUCGGAUCGUAAAGCUCUGUUGUACGAGAAGAACGGGUGUGAGAGUGGAAAGUUCACAGUGUGACGGUAUCUUACCAGAAAGGGCCGGCUAACUACGUG